ACCCACAGCCAUGCUACCCUGGAAGUGUUUCACCUUGUCUAACUGGGAAACUAAGCAGGACCAGGUCUGGCUUGUACUUCAAGGUGAGAAAGGGCAGGGUC
rnacentral:rRNA from 1 species